AAGACAUUGGCCAAGAGCCGCAGUUUAUGGUAACAGCGGUUCCAGCAGCGGUGCAGACAGCAAGCGAACGUCGUCACCUUUGGGGGGCUGUGCCGCACCCCUCAGAGUGAAUGCAGAGGUUCUGUACCC
rnacentral:snoRNA from 1 species